rnacentral:rRNA from 1 species
CCUACGGGAGGCAGCAGUGAGGAAUAUUGGUCAAUGGGCGGGAGCCUGAACCAGCCAAGUCGCGUGAGGGAAGACGGUCCUAUGGAUUGUAAACCUCUUUAGGCGGGGAGCAAUGCCGGGCACGUGUGCCCGGAGGGAGAGUACCCGCAGAAUAAGCAUCGGCUAACUCCGUGCCAGCAGCCGCGGUAAUACGGAGGAUGCGAGCGUUCUCCGGAUUUAUUGGGUUGAAAGGGUGCGUAGGCGGAUUUUUAAGUCAGCGGUAAAAUGUCCGGGCUCAACCCGGGCCGGCCGUUGAAACUGGGGAGCUUGAGUGGGCGAGAAGUAUGCGGAAUGCGUGGUGUAGCGGUGAAAUGCAUAGAUAUCACGCAGAACUCCGAUUGCGAAGGCAGCAUACCGGCGCCCGACUGACGCUGAGGCACGAAAGCGUGGGGAUCGAACAGGAUUAGAUACCCCAGUAGUC